rnacentral:rRNA from 1 species
UACGGAGGUGGCUAGCGUUGUUCGGAUUUACUGGGUGUAAAGGGCAUGUAGGUGGCUAGAUAAGUCCCAAUUGAAAUCCUUCGGCUCAACCGGAGAACUGGUUGGGAAACUAUCUGGCUUGAGGUUAGGAGAGGAGAAUGGAAUUCCCGGUGUAAAGGUGAAAUUUGUAGAGAUCGGGAGGAACACCAGUGGCGAAGGCGAUUCUCUGGCCUAAAACUGACACUGAAAUGCGAAAGCUAGGGGAGCAAACAGGAUUAGAUACCCCAGUA